rnacentral:rRNA from 1 species
UACGUAGGGGGCGAGCGUUGUCCGGAGUUACUGGGCGUAAAGCGCUUGUAGGCGGUCCACCAAGUUUGGGGUGACAGUUGCCGACUUAAUCGGCAAAGUGCCUCAAAGACUGGCGGACUUGAGGGCCACAGAGAGACAUGGAACUCCAGGUGUAGUGGUGAAAUGCGUAGAUAUCUGGAAGAACACCAAAGGCGAAGGCAGUGUCCUGGGUGGUCGCUGACGCUGAGAGGCGAAAGCCAGGGGAGCGAACGGG